AUUGAACGCUGGCGGCGUGCUUAACACAUGCAAGUCGAGCGGUAACAGGCGUAGCAAUACGUGCUGACGAGCGGCGAACGGGUGAGUAAUGCUUCGGAAUCUUCCUUGUAGUGGGGAAAAACCUGGGGAAACUCAGGCUAAUGCCGCAUACGAACCAUGGUUGAAAGCGGGGGAUCGCAAGACCUCGGGCCAUAAGACGAGCCGAAGUCGGAUUAGCUAGUUGGUGGGGUAAAGGCCUACCAAGGCGACGAUCCGUAGCUGGUCUGAGAGGACGACCAGCCACACUGGGACUGAGACACGGCCCAGACUCCUACGGGAGGCAGCAGUGGGGAAUAUUGGACAAUGGGGGCAACCCUGAUCCAGCGACGCCGCGUGUGUGAAGAAGGCCUGCGGGUUGUAAAGCACUUUUAGUGGGGACAAAAAGCCGAGGGCUAAUACCUUUCGGUCUUGAUUUAACCCAAAGAAAAAGCACCGGCUAACUCUGUGCCAGCAGCCGCCGUAAAAC
rnacentral:rRNA from 1 species